rnacentral:rRNA from 1 species
AGAGUUUGAUCAUGGCUCAGGAUGAACGCUGGCGGCGUGCCUAACACAUGCAAGUCGAACGGAGUUAUUUUGGAAAGUUCUUCGGAACUGGAAUCUAUAACUUAGUGGCGGACGGGUGAGUAACGCGUGAGCAAUCUGCCCUUGGGUGGGGGAUAACAGCCGGAAACGGCUGCUAAUACCGCAUAACGCAACGGGAUGGCAUCUUCCUGUUGCCAAAGAUUUAUUGCCCUUGGAUGAGCUCGCGUCUGAUUAGCUAGUUGGCGGGGUAACGGCCCACCAAGGCGACGAUCAGUAGCCGGACUGAGAGGUUGAACGGCCACAUUGGGACUGAGACACGGCCCAG